UAGACUCAAAGAAAUUUGCCUCAGUAGCUUAUGAGCUAGCAAUUCCAACUCUCUUGCAUACUCCUGGCAUGUUUCCCUAAACCCAGGGGGAUAUUGCGGCCACUGAUUACACAAUACCCUCAAUUCCUUGUCAUUUGGUUCAUGCGAAGCCGGAAUCAACGUCCCAUCCUUAACCAAGAAGUCAAACACUUCCUUCCAAUCCCUAACGUUUUUGGUAUUCUCACCGUCAUGAAACCCCAUAGCAUUAGCUGCAUCUCUCUUCACCUUCCUCUUCUCCUCCAUUGGCUGAUCAAAAAACAACUUGGCAGCUUUUUCAAUACGCGCGAGCAGCUCGUGGGGAACUCCAUGGUUGAUUACCUGGAAGAAACCCCAGUUCUGGCAAGCAGAGGCUAUUUCAGAGACGAGCUGAUGGGUGGUGCGAGAGAGGGAGAUGGAGAGAUCUAUGGUUGGAACUUGUUCGUCAAUGGAGUCGAGGGGUUCGAGCUUGGGGCGGUGCUCGAUGGGUUGAAUGAAGGUAGAAUCCAUGGCCAAAG
rnacentral:misc_RNA from 1 species